rnacentral:rRNA from 1 species
GAGUUUGAUCCUGGCUCAGGAUGAACGCUGGCGGCGUGCCUAACACAUGCAAGUUGAACGAAGCGCUUACAACUAAAUCCUUCGGGAGGAAGAUGUAAGUGACUUAGUGGCGGACGGGUGAGUAACGCGUGGGCAACCUGCCCUGUACAGGGGGACAACAGCCGGAAACAGCUGCUAAUACCCCAUAAGCGCACAGUAACGCAUGUUACAGUGUGAAAAGCCGAGACGGUACGGGAUGGGCCCGCGUCUGAUUAGAUAGUUGGUGGGGUAGAGGCCUACCAAGUCAGCGAUCAGUAGCCGGCCUGAGAGGGUGAACGGCCACAUUGGAACUGAGACACGGUCCAGACUCCUACGGGAGGCAGCAGUGGGGAAUAUUGCACAAUGGGGGAAACCCUGAUGCAGCGACGCCGCGUGAAGGAAGAAGUAUUUGCGGUAUGUAAACUUCUAUCAGCAGGGAA